rnacentral:tRNA from 1 species
GGGGCUGUGGCGCAGUUGGGAGCGCGCUUCCGUGGCACGGAAGAGGUCGCCGGUUCGAACCCGGCCAGCUCCACCA